GUAGUUUGAUCAUGGCUCAGGAUGAACGCUAGCGGCAGGCCUAACACAUGCAAGUCGAGGGGCAGUCACGGUGUAGCAAUACACUGGUGGCGACCGGCGCACGGGUGCGUAACGCGUAUGCAACCUACCCAUAACAGGGGGAUAACACUGAGAAAUUGGUACUAAUACCCCAUAACAUCAGGACCGGCAUCGGUUCUGGUUGAAAACUCCGGUGGUUAUGGAUGGGCAUGCGUUGUAUUAG
rnacentral:rRNA from 1 species